rnacentral:rRNA from 1 species
GACAGAGGGUGCAAACGUUGUUCGGAAUUACUGGGCGUAAAGCGCGUGUAGGCUGCUGCGAAAGUCAGGUGUGAAAGCCCCGGGCUCAACCUGGGAAGUGCACUUGAAACCUCGCAGUUCGAAUGCCGGAGAGGGUAGCGGAAUUCUCGGUGUAGAGGUGAAAUUCGUAGAUAUCGAGAGGAACACCGGUGGCGAAGGCGGCUACCUGGACGGCUAUUGACGCUGAGACGCGAAAGCGUGGGGAGCAAACAGG